UCCCUGGUGGUCCAGUGGAUAGGACUCCUUGCUUCCUCUGCAGGAAGCAUGGGUUCAAUUCCUGAUUGGGGAA
rfam:TPA: Bos taurus chromosome 11, whole genome shotgun sequence.